rnacentral:rRNA from 1 species
CGCAGCCUGAUGCAGCCAUGCCGCGUGUGUGAAGAAGGCCUUCGGGUUGUAAAGCACUUUCAGUCAGGAGGAAAGGUUAACGGUUAAUACCCGUUAGCUGUGACGUUACUGACAGAAGAAGCACCGGCUAACUCCGUGCCAGCAGCCGCGGUAAUACGGAGGGUGCGAGCGUUAAUCGGAAUUACUGGGCGUAAAGCGUACGCAGGCGGUUUGUUAAGCGAGAUGUGAAAGCCCCGGGCUCAACCUGGGAACUGCAUUUCGAACUGGCAAACUAGAGUGUGAUAGAGGGUGGUAGAAUUUCAGGUGUAGCGGUGAAAUGCGUAGAGAUCUGAAGGAAUACCGAUGGCGAAGGCAGCCACCUGGGUCAACACUGACGCUCAUGUACGAAAGCGUGGGGAGCAAACGGGAUUAGAUACCCCGUUAGUCCACGCCGUAAACGAUGUCUACUAGAAGCUCGGAGCCUCGGUUCUGUUUUUCAAAGCUAACGCAUUAAGUAGACCGCCUGGGGAGUACGGCCGCAAGGUUAAAACUCAAAUGAAUUGACGGGGGCCCGCACAAGCGGUGGAGCAUGUGGUUUAAUUCGAUGCAACGCGAAGAACCUUACCUACACUUGACAUACAGAGAACUUACCAGAGAUGGUUUGGUGCCUUCGGGAACUCUGAUACAGGUGCUGCAUGGCUGUCGUCAGCUCGUGUUGUGAGAUGUUGGGUUAAGUCCCGCAACGAGCGCAACCCCUAUCCUUAGUUGCUAGCAGGUAAUGCUGAGAACUCUAAGGAGACUGCCGGUGAUAAACCGGAGGAAGGUGGGGACGACGUCAAGUCAUCAUGGCCCUUACGUGUAGGGCUACACACGUGCUACAAUGGCGCAUACAGAGUGCUGCGAACCUG